AGGCUCGUCAAUCGAAAUGAGUACAAUUUAAAUCCUUUAACGAGUACCAAUUGGAGGGCAAGUCUGGUGCCAGCAGCCGCGGUAAUUCCAGCUCCAAUAGCGAAUAUUAAAUUUGUUGCAGUUAAAAAGCUCGUAGUUGGAUCCAAGGUUAGGCAUGCCUGUCUGUUCUUAGUAGCAUGACUGUGUGUGUCUGCCUUUAUUAGUUGAAUGUUCAUUAUGGUGGUCUUCAUCGACUGCUAUGAUGUGCUCAACACGUUUACCUUGAAAAAAUCAGAGCGAUCAAGGCAGGCCUUCGUCCUUGUAUGUUGUUGCAAGGAAUAAUAGAAUAGGACUUCGGUUCUAUUUUGUUGGUUUUGAGAAUUGAAGUAAUGAACAAUAGAGACAGUCGGGGGCAUUUGUAUGGUGGCGUUAGAGGUGAAAUUCUGAGAUCGUCGCCAGACAAACUACUGCGAAAGCAUUUGCCAAGGAUGUCUUCAUUAAUCAAGAUCGAAAGUCAGAGGUUCGAAGACGAUCAGAUACCGUCCUAGUUCUGACCAUAAACGAUGCCGACCUACAAUCGGGGGUGGUUUAUUAUAUUGACCCUCCCGGCUGUCCUCAGGAAACUUUAAGUUGGUUCUGGGGGGAAUAUGGACUCAAGACUGAAACUUAAAGGAAUUGACGGAAGGGCACCACCAGGAGUGGAGCCUGCGGCUUAAUUUGACCCAACACGGGGAAUCUCACCCGGUCCGGACACUGGUAGGAUGGACAGAUUGAUAGCUCUUUCUUGAUUCAGUGGGUGGUGGUGCAUGGCCGUUCUUAGUAGGUGGAGUGAUUUGUCUGGUUAAUUCCGAUAACGAACGAGACUCUGUCCUGCUAAAUAGUCCAGUGGCAUCAAUCACUAUGUGAUUACAGCUGCUGUUACUUCUUAGAGGGAUUCGCGGAUUUAAACCGCAAGAAAUAGAGCAAUAACAGGUCUGUGAUGCCCUUAGAUGUCCGGGGCCGCACGCGCGCUACAUUGACAGUAGAAGCGAGUAUUUCUACCUGGUUCGAAAGAAUUGGGAAAUCUUCGAAUUACUGUCUCCACAGGGAUUGAGGUUUGCAAUUUUGCCUCAUGAACGAGGAAUUCCCAGUAGGCGCAAGUCAUCAGCUUGCGUCGAUUACGUCCCUGCCCUUUGUACACACCGCCCGUCGCUACUACCGAUUGAGUGCAUUAGUGAGGACCUCGGAUUGAGAACAUAGUGGCGCAAGUUACUUUGUUUUCGAAAAGUGGUUCAAAUUUGUGCAUUUAGAGAUAGUAAAAGUCGU
rnacentral:rRNA from 1 species